rnacentral:rRNA from 1 species
AGCCCUAGUAACGGCGAGUGAAGCGGCAACAGCUCAAAUUUGAAAUCUGGCCCCCAGGCCCGAGUUGUAAUUUGCAGAGGAUGCUUUUGGCAAAGCGCUUACCGAGUCCCCUGGAACGGGGCGCCACAGAGGGUGAGAGCCCCGUAUGGUAUGACGCCGAGCCUCUGUAAAGCUCCUUCGACGAGUCGAGUAGUUUGGGAAUGCUGCUCUAAAUGGGAGGUAAAUUUCUUCUAAAGCUAAAUACCGGCCAGAGACCGAUAGCGCACAAGUAGAGUGAUCGAAAGAUGAAAAGCACUUUGAAAAGAGGGUUAAAUAGCACGUGAAAUUGUUGAAAGGGAAGCGCUCGUGACCAGACUUGCGCCGGGCGGAUCAUCCAGCGUUCUCGCUGGUGCACUCCGCCCGGCUCAGGCCAGCAUCGGUUUUCGCCGGGGGACAAAAGCUUCGGGAACGUGGCUCCCUUCGGGGAGUGUUAUAGCCCGUUGUUUAAUACCCCGGCGGGGACCGAGGACCGCGCUUCGGCAAGGAUGCUGGCGUAAUGGUCAUCAGCGACCCGUCUUGAAACACGGACCGAGGAGUCAAGCAUUAGUGCGAGUGUUUGGGUGUAAAACCCGCACGCGUAAUGAAAGUGAACGUAGGUGAGAGCUUCGGCGCAUCAUCGACCGAUCCUGAUGUUUUCGGAUGGAUUUGAGUAGGAGCAUUAACGCUUGGACCCGAAAGAUGGUGAACUAUACUUGAAUAGGGUGAAGCCAGAGGAAACUCUGGUGGAGGCUCGCAGCGGUUCUGACGUGCAAAUCGAUCGUCAAAUUUGAGUAUAGGGGCGAAAGACUAAUCGAACCAUCUAGUAGCUGGUUACCGCCGAAGUUUCCCUCAGGAUAGCAGUGUCGUCUUCAGUUUUAUGAGGUAAAGCGAAUGAUUAGGGACUCGGGGGCGAUUUUUAGCCUUCAUCCAUUCUCAAACUUUAAAUAUGUAAGAAGCCCUUGUUACUUAGUUGAUACGUGGGCCUUCGGUAUG